UGGGGAAUUUUGGACAAUGGGCGCAAGCCUGAUCCAGCCAUGCCGCGUGCGGGAAGAAGGCCUUCGGGUUGUAAACCGCUUUUGUCAGGGAAGAAAUCUUCUGAGUUAAUACCUCGGGAGGAUGACGGUACCUGAAGAAUAAGCACCGGCUAACUACGUGCCAGCAGCCGCGGUAAUACGUAGGGUGCAAGCGUUAAUCGGAAUUACUGGGCGUAAAGCGUGCGCAGGCGGUUUUGUAAGACAGAGGUGAAAUCCCCGGGCUCAACCUGGGAACUGCCUUUGUGACUGCAAGGCUUGAGUGCGGCAGAGGGGGAUGGAAUUCCGCGUGUAGCAGUGAAAUGCGUAGAUAUGCGGAGGAACACCGAUGGCGAAGGCAAUCCCCUGGGCCUGCACUGACGCUCAUGCACGAAAGCGUGGGGAGCAAACAGGAUUAGAUAGCCCUGGUAGUCCACGCCCUAAACGAUGUCAACUGGUUGUUGGGAAGGUUCCUUCUCAGUAACGUAGCUAACGCGUGAAGUUGACCGCCUGGGGAGUACGGCCGCAAGGUUGAAACUCAAAUGAAUUGAC
rnacentral:rRNA from 1 species